CGGGUUCUUCGAAUGUGUGGUAGGGUGGGGGGCAUCCAUAUAGUCACUCCAGGUUUAUGGAGGGUUCUUCUACUAUUAGGACUUUUCGCUUCGAAGCGAAGGCUUCUCAAAUUAUGAAAAUUAUUAAUAUUACUGCUGUUAGAGAAAUGAAUGAGCCUACAGAUGAUAGGAUAUUUCAUGUGGUGUAUGCAUCGGGAUAGUCCGAGUAACGUCGGGGCAUUCCGGAUAGGCCGAGAAAGUGUUGUGGGAAGAAAGUUAGAUUUACGCCGAUGAAUAUGAUAGCGAAAUGGAUUUUGGCGUAGGUUUGGUCUAGGGUGUAGCCUGAGAAUAGGGGAAAUCAGUGAAUGAAGCCUCCUAUGAUGGCAAAUACAGCUCCUAUUGAUAGGACAUAGUGGAAGUGGGCUACAACGUAGUACGUGUCGUGUAGUACGAUGUCUAGUGAUGAGUUUGCUAAUACAAUGCCAGUCAGGCCACCUACGGUGAAAAGAAAAAUAAAUCCUAGGGCUCAGAGCACUGCAGCAGAUCAUUUCAUAUUGCUUCCGUGGAGUGUGGCGAGUCAGCUAAAUACUUUGACGCCGGUGGGGAUAGCGAUGAUUAUGGUAGCGGAGGUGAAAUAUGCUCGUGUGUCUACGUCUAUUCCUACUGUAAAUAUAUGGUGUGCUCACACGAUAAACCCUAGGAAGCCAAUUGAUAUCAUAGCUCAGACCAUACCUAUGUAUCCAAAUGGUUCUUUUUUUCCCGGAGUAGUAAGUUACAAUAUGGGAGAUUAUUCCGAAGCCUGGUAGGAUGAGAAUAUAAACUUCAGGGUGACCGAAAAAUCAGAAUAGGUGUUGGUAUAGAAUGGGGUCUCCUCCUCCGGCUGGGUCGAAGAAGGUGGUGUUGAGGUUACGGUCUGUUAGUAGUAUAGUGAUGCCAGCGGCUAGGACUGGGAGAGAUAGGAGAAAAGAUGGUUAGGUCUACGGAGGCUCCAGGGUGGGAGUAGUUCCCUGCCAAGGGAGGGUAGACUGUUCAACCUGUUCCUGCGCCGGCCUCCACUAUAGCAGAUGCAAGCAGGAGUAGGAGAGAGGGGGGUAAGAGUCAGAAGCUUAUGUUGUUUAUGCGGGGAAACGCCAUAUCGGGGGCACCGAUUAUUAGGGGAACUAGUCAGUUGCCAAAGCCUCCGAUUAUGAUGGGUAUUACUAUGAAGAAGAUUAUUACAAAUGCAUGGGCUGUGACGAUAACGUUGUAGAUGUGGUCGUUACCUAGAAGGUUGCCUGGCUGGCCCAGUUCGGCUCGAAUAAGGAGGCUUAGAGCUGUGCCUAGGACUCCAGCUCAUGCGCCGAAUAAUAGGUAUAGUGUUCCAAUGUCUUUGUGGUUUGUAGAGAAUAG
rnacentral:lncRNA from 1 species